UGAUCAAUAGCAUAAGCUAGCCUUUCUUUCCUCAGGAUGUUGUUGAAGUGAAACCAUUCAUCAAGGUUCCUCUCCCAUCUAAGAUAACCUCUUUUUCCUGAAAAUUUAAAGAGUUCAAUUUUAUCAGCAAAAGAGUUAUAAUCAAACCGAGAAUUAACAACAUGAUUGUUGUGGGUUUUAGAAGUUGGAGUUUGAUUGAUCCUUGAAGGAUCUGGUGGCUUGGGCUUGACAUAUACAGCCCCUGGUACAUC
rnacentral:lncRNA from 1 species